GAAAGCAUCUAAGCAUGAAGCCCCCCUCAAGAUGAGAUUUCCCAUAGCGUAAGCUAGUAAGAUCCCUGAAAGAUGAUCAGGUUGAUAGGUUCGAGGUGGAAGCAUGGUGACAUGUGGAGCUGACGAAUACUAAUAGAUCGAGGACUUAACCA
rnacentral:rRNA from 2 species